rnacentral:rRNA from 1 species
UACAGAGGGUGCAAGCGUUAAUCGGAAUGACUGGGCGUAAAGGGCGCGUAGGCGGUAGAUUAAGCUGGAGGUGAAAAGCCUGGGCUCAACCUGGAGACGCCACCCGAUACUGUCGUGACUAGAGUCCAGUAGGGGAGCGUGGAAUUCCUGGUGUAGCGGUGAAAUGCGCAGAUAUCAGGAGGAACACCAGCGGCGAAGGCGGCGCUCUGGGCUGGAACUGACGCUGAGGAGCGAAAGCGUGGGGAGCGAACAGG